UUUAUUCUUGUACAGGUGUAUGUAUGUACAAACUAGAAUUACAUGAUCAGCAGCUUUACAACGUGCAAUGUACAUUAGGGUCUUUUUGUUGCAGAAGCUUGAUGCACACACAGUUGCAAGGGGGCAGUUUCCAUCAGAUGCCAGCACCCAUUAUCUCCCAAAAAUUCCUGCUAUUUCUCUGCAAUACUGAAACAUCCGAAUGCUAGAUUCAAAUGCUACAGUCCACAUACUUCUUGCAAAGAAGGGCUGAAGAUCUUGACUUAAGAUGUCCCUUCUGAUUUAUUGUUCCUGUUUCACCUCUCGCCCAGGGACCGGUAGAACCUGGCGAAGCGGCCGCGCUCCUUGGGCUUGGGCUUGACGGGCUUCUUCCGGCGGAGCCCGGCGAUCUCCUGCACCAGCGGGACGUGCACCAGCACCGUCCUCCACGCCACGGCGGCCGUACUGAGGGCGAUGAUGGAGAGGACGAAGGCGAAGGCGAGGAGGGGCCGGAGGACGAAGACGACGGCGAUCUCCCACGCCGCCGCCGCCAGCGCGGCUC
rnacentral:sRNA from 1 species